AGCGGCAGGCCUAAUACAUGCAAGUCGAGGGGCAGCAUAUUCUUCGGAAUGAUGGCGACCGGCGCACGGGUGCGUAACGCGUAUGCAAUUUACCCACUACUGGGGGAUAGCCCGGGGAAACUCGGAUUAAUACCUCAUAGUAUUAUUUGAUGGCAUCUGAAGAUAAUUAAAGAUUUAUCGGUAGUGGAUGAGCAUGCGUCUGAUUAGUUAGUUGGUGAGGUAACGGCUCACCAAGGCGAUGAUCAGUAGGGGGUCUGAGAGGAUGAUCCCCCACACUGGAACUGAGACACGGUCCAGACUCCUACGGGGAGGCAGCAGUAGGGAAUAUUGGUCAAUGGGCGAGAGCCUGAACCAGCCAUGCCGCGUGCAGGAUGACGGCCUUCUGGGUUGUAAACUGCUUUUCUACAGGAAGAAAAUGCCCUUGCGAGGGAAAUUGCCGUUAUUGUAGGAUAAGCACCGGCUAACUCCGUGCCAGCAGCCGCGGUAAUACGGAGGGUGCAAGCGUUGUCCGGAUUAUUGGGUUAAAGGGUGCGUACGCCGCAUAUUAGUCAGUGGUGAAAGCCACAGCUCACUGUGGACUGCCAUGAUACUGGUAUUCUUGAAUCUCAGUUAAGGUAGGCGGAAUUGAUGGUGUACCGGUGAAAUGCAUAGAUACCAUCAGGAACACCGAUUGCAAGGCAGCUUACUGGGCUUGAAUUGACGCUGAGACACCAAAGCGUGGUGAGCGACAGGAUUAGAUACCCUGGUAGUCCACGCC
rnacentral:rRNA from 1 species